UACGUAGGUGGCAAGCGUUGUUCGGAAUUAUUGGGCGUAAAGAGCUCGUAGGCGGUGUGUCACGUCGGCCGUGAAAACCUGGGGCUCAACUCUGGGCGUGCGGUCGAUACGGGCAUCACUAGAGUUCGGCAGGGGAGACUGGAAUUCCUGGUGUAGCGGUGAAAUGCGCAGAUAUCAGGAGGAACACCGGUGGCGAAGGCGGGUCUCUGGGCCGAUACUGACGCUGAGGAGCGAAAGCAUGGGUAGCGAACAGG
rnacentral:rRNA from 1 species